GACAAAUAACUUCUUUUACUCCUGGAGAGAAAAGGAAGGUGGGAUGAAGGAAAAGGAAAAAAAGUUUAAAUUCUUCAAAGCAAAUUACUAGAUCUUCCUGGUACAACAAAAAGCAGGAUACAUAGAAGAGAUGUUAUAGAUAAAGAAUGUAGAAAAGUUUCUAUCAACUUAAAGUUUUGCAUGCGGUAUUUGAGAAUCCACCUUUGCUCAAUGUGCUAGGAGAAGGACAACAUGGAUCCAUGGGAUGCCUUUCAAAUAAAUGUUUGCUGGAUUAAGUUCACCCAACUCACGUUUUUGACAUCUCACAGCCUGGAU
rnacentral:lncRNA from 1 species